rnacentral:tRNA from 1 species
GCUAGCGUAGCUUAACCAAAGCAUAACACUGAAGAUGUUAAGAUAAAUCCUAAAAACAUUUCGCAAGCA